rnacentral:precursor_RNA from 1 species
CCUUCUUCCAAGACCGCAGGACACGGCGGGCGGGGCCGGGGGUG